rnacentral:rRNA from 1 species
AACGAACGCUGGCGGCAUGCCUAACACAUGCAAGUCGAACGAGACCUUCGGGUCUAGUGGCGCACGGGUGCGUAACGCGUGGGAACCUGCCCUUAGGUUCGGAAUAACUCCCCGAAAGGGGUGCUAAUACCGGAUAAUGUCUUCGGACCAAAGAUUUAUCGCCUUUGGAUGGGCCCGCGUUGGAUUAGCUAGUUGGUAGGGUAAAAGCCUACCAAGGCGACGAUCCAUAGCUGGUCUGAGAGGAUGAUCAGCCACACUGGGACUGAGACACGGCCCAGACUCCUACGGGAGGCAGCAGUGGGGAAUAUUGGACAAUGGGCGAAAGCCUGAUCCAGCAAUGCCGCGUGAGUGAUGAGGGCCUUAGGGUUGUAAAGCUCUUUUACCCGGGACGAUAAUGACAGUACCGGGAGAAUAAGCUCCGGCUAACUCCGUG